CUGUCCUCUUCGCACUUCAUCUUUCUGUUGUCUAGUUGAUCUGAGUUUCUGCUGGACAAAAGAGUAGAUCUCUGUCAGUUGUUUGCCAGUAUUUAAGAAGAAACAUUCCUGUGAAAAUGGAACAGGAAAUUAACAGAAGUUUCAUCAUCUUGGUCCACAAUAGGAGCUGGAAAGAUGUCACGGUCUCUGUAAGUGCCAGGCCCCUCGUGAAGCCGCUGGAGGGAAACAUGCUUUUUUUCUGGUUCCAAUGGCUUCGGUCCACUUUUAGCACAACAGAGAUUUGUCAAGGACAGAAAAAGUCUGUCAGUGAAGUGACCUCACGGAACUACUUCAUUUACCAAUUGGGAAGCCUGAAAUGGAAGCUUUAUAACAUCCGCGUGACAAGAAAGUCAGAUGGAUGGAUUGCUGAAUGUUCAACGCCGCUGAGCUGUACUUGGAUUGUUGAAGAUAAAGGGAUUUUCCAAGAAGAUGAUACUGAAAACCGCUGUGAAUUUAAGCAGCCCUCCUAGCUGUUGUUUUUUUAAUGCAUUUAUCAGGGGAGAAUGAGGUCCUUUUUUGCACUCAGCUUAAUGAGAUCUUCUGUAUCAUUUGAAAGCUUACACAGGCUUGGCAUAAAAGCCUGAUAAAAGGCCACCAUGUGAGCUGUUUUGUACUUUUUAUUCUUGCAAACUAUUAUAGCACCAGCUUUUAGAACACAGUCUAUUAAUCCCCUUGAGUGCUGCUGCCCCUUCUUUCUUUCACCUACUUCCUGCCUCUUUUAUGAAAAAUUAAAAUCUAAGAUACCAGCUGAUCUGGCAGUCAGGUGGCUGUGGAAUAACUCAUUAUCUGUGACCUCUGGCUUGUGUGCCUUUAAAAUUUGGGAUAAAUACACAAGAGUAUCCCUCCUGGUUGGUCUAAUCCUACAUCCUAGUUUCAGGAGCAGGCAGUCAGAUGGUUGCAGAGAAGUUCCCAAACAGGCCUCUUCAGCAACAGUUCUCCUCUCCUAACAAUCAGAAGCAUUCUGCCUCUCAGCCCAGUUAAUAGGUAGCAAUAGACCUGUCCUCAUGAGUUGAGAGGUUCUAGCCAGCAAGUGGGGGGUGAGGUGAUGGGGAAUCUACGGUGUCACAUGCGUCAUGGUGUCACUUAUGGGAAAAGCCCUGAAAUUACAUCAGGUAGCUCUAGGAAUCAAUGGCGGCACUUCUGGGUUUUUGCGGAAGUGACAUCAAGGAGAAUAUAAUGCUGUAGCAGUUCCUAUUACAUCACUCUCGUAAUUCGCUAAUAAUUAAUUGUCUAGAUAAUAAUUGCAUUAUUAUUAUUGAACAGAGCUAGAAAAAGAUAAGAUUAUCUCUCUCUCUCUCUAUAUAUAUAUAUAUAUAUACACACACACACACACAUAUAUACACACACACACACAUAUACACACACACAUAUAUAUACAC